rnacentral:rRNA from 1 species
AUUGAACGCUGGCGGCAUGCCUUACACAUGCAAGUCGAACGGCAGCACGGGUGCUUGCACCUGGUGGCGAGUGGCGAACGGGUGAGUAAUGCAUCGGAACGUACCGUGUAAUGGGGGAUAACGUAGCGAAAGUUACGCUAAUACCGCAUACGACCUGAGGGUGAAAGCAGGGGAUCGCAAGACCUUGCGUUAUACGAGCGGCCGAUGUCAGAUUAGCUAGUUGGUGAGGUAAAGGCUCACCAAGGCGACGAUCUGUAGCGGGUCUGAGAGGAUGAUCCGCCACACUGGGACUGAGACACGGCCCAGACUCCUACGGGAGGCAGCAGUGGGGAAUUUUGGACAAUGGGGGCAACCCUGAUCCAGCCAUGCCGCGUGAGUGAAGAAGGCCUUCGGGUUGUAAAGCUCUUUCGGCCGGGAAGAAAUCGCACAGGCUAAUACUCUGUGUGGAUGACGGUACCGGCAUAAGAAGCACCGGCUAACUACGUGCCAGCAGCCGCCGUAA